rnacentral:rRNA from 1 species
AGGACGAACGCUGGCGGCGUGCUUAACACAUGCAAGUCGAGCGGAAAGGCCCUUCGGGGUACUCGAGCGGCGAACGGGUGAGUAACACGUGAGCAAUCUGCCCUUAGCUUCGGGAUAGCCCCGGGAAACCGGGAUUAAUACCGAAUAUGACCUUGGCCGACAUCGGCCUUGGUGGAAAGUUUUUCGGCUAGGGAUGAACUCGCGGCCUAUCAGCUUGUUGGUGGGGUAAUGGCCUACCAAGGCGACGACGGGUAGCCGGCCUGAGAGGGCGACCGGCCACACUGGGACUGAGACACGGCCCAGACUCCUACGGGAGGCAGCAGUGGGGAAUAUUGCGCAAUGGGCGAAAGCCUGACGCAGCGACGCCGCGUGGGGGAUGAAGGCCUUCGGGUUGUAACCCUUUCAGCAGGGACGAAGCGAGAGUGACGGUACCUGCAGAAGAAGCGCCGGCUAACUACGUGCCAGCAGCCGC